rnacentral:rRNA from 1 species
UACGUAGGGUGCGAGCGUUAAUCGGAAUUACUGGGCGUAAAGCGUGCGCAGGCGGUUUUGUAAGCCAGAUGUGAAAUCCCCGGGCUUAACCUGGGAAUGGCAUUUGGGACUGCAAGGCUUGAGUGCGGCAGAGGAGACUGGAAUUCCUGGUGUAGCAGUGAAAUGCGUAGAUAUGCGGAGGAACACCGAUGGCGAAGGCAAUCCCCUGGGCCUGUACUGACGCUCAUGCACGAAAGCGUGGGGAGCAAACAGG